AUGCAAUCUGGGAUGGAACAAACAACAGGGGUAAGUGGUCAGGAACAUGUAAUUGAUAUUCCAAGGGAUAGCGGUCCUUCGGCCUCGGCAUCGCACAGUGUUGGUAGAGAGAACCAUGAAGAGUUGAAUCCUGUGGAUAGACCUUCAACAAGGGCUGCAACGUCUGCCUUGCAGCCACCAGCAGCAAUAGGUCCUCCUCAUGCAGACAAUGCUUCAGGCACUAGGAGACGUGAUAACUAUGGUCGGCAACAUAGGAGCCCUUUGAACUCUGGACUAUGGAUUUCGGUUGAAGUUAUCGUUAACGUUAGCCAAAUUGUUGCUGCCAUUGUUGUGCUAUCCCUGUCAAGGAAGGAACAUCCACAAGCUCCAUUGUUUGAGUGGGUCAUAGGUUACACAGUCGGUUGUUUUGCCACUUUGCCACAUCUUUAUUGGCGCUAUAUACACCGUAAUAUCGUGAACGGUGAGAAUGAGCCAGCACACUCACUUCAGGGCUCCUCGCAGAACAACUCGACUGGGCCCACUCCUGCAAGUGUAUCAGAACGGCGAAGGAAUGCUGCACGAAAUGCAGUUCUGGCUAACCCGAGGAUUAAUGCACUUUUUGACCACUUCAAGAUGGCCUUGGAUUGUUUCUUUGCCGUAUGGUUUGUUGUAGGAAAUGUGUGGAUAUUCGGUGGGCGUUCUUCGGCUGUUGAUGCUCCAAACUUGUCCAGGUUAUGCACCGUGUUCUUCACCUUCAGCUGUAUUGGCUAUGCCAUGCCUUUCAUCCUCUGCGCAAUGAUAUGCUGCUGUCUCCCCUGCAUUAUAUCCGUCAUGGGCUUCAGAGAAGACACAAACAAUACAAGAGGGGCCACUUCGGAAUCCAUCAAUACUUUGCCGACUUAUAAAUUCAAAACCAAGAAACGCCGCCAUGGUUCAGGUAAUGAAGCCGAAGGCCAAGAGGGAGGUAUAGUGGCUGCAGGGACUGACAAGGAGCGAUCGCUUUCUGCUGAAGAUGCUGUUUGCUGCAUCUGCCUUGCCAAGUAUGCACACAACGAAGAGCUUCGUGAACUUCCCUGCACACACUGUUUCCACAAGGAAUGCGUCGACAAAUGGCUAAAGAUAAAUGCACUCUGCCCUCUGUGCAAAGCCGAGAUAGCAAGCUCAUCUGGCACAUCUGAUACUCGCCACAUCGACCAUACAGUACCGACGCAGGAGAUCGAAAUGCAUUAG
rnacentral:rRNA from 1 species